UACGAAGGGGGCUAGCGUUGCUCGGAAUCACUGGGCGUAAAGCGCACGUAGGCGGAUUUUUAAGUCAGGGGUGAAAUCCUGGAGCUCAAUUCCAGAACUGCCUUUGAUACUGGGAAUCUCGAGUCCGGAAGAGGUGAGUGGAACUGCGAGUGUAGAGGUGAAAUUCGUAGAUAUUCGCAAGAACACCAGUGGCGAAGGCGGCUCACUGGUCCGGUACUGACGCUGAGGAACGAAAGCCAGGGUAGCGAACGGG
rnacentral:rRNA from 1 species